rnacentral:lncRNA from 1 species
AUGCCAGAAUGUGGACCCUCAUCUUGUUGGCAAUGGUUUUCCCAAGUACACUGGCUCCUGGUUAAUCCAGAGGUUUUAAAACAAAGCUUCAAGCCACAAUUAUGUGCAGCGCUGCCUUGUGUAGUGACGGCGUGUGUAGUGUUGUGGGAUCGAGACUCUGCUUCGCCUGGAUUCAAACUAGUUUGGCCUGAAAUGAUUCAGAUGAAGCCAAGCUGCGGUAUGAAAGGCUCUUGUUUUUGAGGCUGCUGGAGGUGUUAGACUGUUUGAAUCUCCCAUCUGGAAUUAGGAAGUGGUGUUUGAUCUACAGAGAGA